GUAUUUAAUCUCUACUCAUCUUAUUCUUUGGUAUUUAACUCCACAAGUUUCUUUUUGGUUCGAUUAAUUUGGUAACUUUUCCUUCUAAGUUUAUAUUGCUGUAAACAAAGGGCGUGGCUGGAGUAAAUCUUGGUUCUUCUGACAGCUCAUUUUCAGACACACUGCUCUCUCUCACGCUGUAGAUUCGGCUGUCAGAAUUGUACUCUGCACAAGAACUGCUGGGAUGUGUAUUUGAUCCACUGAAUUAUGCUGCACAGUGAUCAUUUGCCUGUCCAACUUGGCUCUGCACUUAACUAUUUUCAUGGAAAUUCCUCCUUAGCUAUUCUUAGCAUCCUCUUGAAGAUUUCACGGGUGAUACAGUGGAUUGAUGUGAAGCAAAUUCUGAGACCACGAUGUCUACCCGAAGGAGGGUUCUCCAAGAAACUUUUGGGCAAAUUUGAAAAGACAUCUGGGGAUGUUUGAAGUUUGCCUCCUGGGGAAAAAAAAACAUUCAGUGUUCCUGGUUUUCAGUAAU
rnacentral:lncRNA from 1 species